rnacentral:RNase_P_RNA from 2 species
GAAGCAAGCCGACUGUCGCCGUUCGUCUUUUGAUGGAGGGAGGAAAGUCCGGGCAGCAUAGAGUAACCGUGCUUCCUAACAGGAAGGAUUCAUCUGAGUAAUUAGAUGGGUACAGAAAGUGCAGCAGAAAAUAGGUAGCCUUCCUUCACUCUUCGGAGUUUCGGAAGGUGAUAGUGAAAAGGGGAGGUAAGAGCUCACCGUUCCGGUGGCGACAUUCGGAAGCUAGGUAAACCUCACGGGCUGAAAGAUCAUGUAAACCAAGCGAGUAGAGCUGCUCGUUCUCUUCCCGACGAUUCUGUCGGGAUGCUUGGAGGGUAGAUCGAUAGAUGCUGAUGGUGACGUCAGUGCUAGAUAAAUGACAGUCAGUUCUGAAGUUUAUUCUUUGGAAUGUACAGAACCCGGCUUAUGGCUUGUUUUUCUU